rnacentral:rRNA from 1 species
CAGCCGCCGCGGGAAUACGGAGGGGGCUAGCGUUGUUCGGAAUUACUGGGCGUAAAGCGCACGUAGGCGGACCGGAAAGUCAGAGGUGAAAUCCCAGGGCUCAACCUUGGAACUGCCUUUGAAACUCCUGGUCUUGAGGUCGAGAGAGGUGAGUGGAAUUCCGAGUGUAGAGGUGAAAUUCGUAGAUAUUCGGAGGAACACCAGUGGCGAAGGCGGCUCACUGGCUCGAUACUGACGCUGAGGUGCGAAAGCGUGGGGAGCAAACAGGAUUAGAUACCCGCGUAGUCCCUGUCUCUUAUAC